UACGGAGGGCAGCAGUGGGGAAUAUUGCACAAUGGGCGAAAGCCUGAUGCAGCUAUGCCGCGUGUAUGAAGAAGGCCUUAGGGUUGUAAAGUACUUUCAUCGGGGAGGAAAAAACAAAACUAAUAAUUUUAUUUCUUGACGUUACCCGAAAAAGAAGCACCGGCUAACUCCGUGCCAGCAGCCGCGGUAAUACGGAGGGUGCUAGCGUUAAUCAGAAUUACUGGGCGUAAAGAGCACGUAGGUGGUUUUUUUAAGUCAGAUGUGAAAUCCCUGGGCUUAACCUAGGAACUGCAUUUUGAAACUGAAAUACUAGAGUAUCGUAGAGGGAGGUAGAAUUCUAGGUGUAGCGGUGAAAUGCGUAGAUAUCUGGAGGAAUACCUGUGGCGAAAGCGGCCUCCUAAACGAAUACUGACACUGAGGUGCGAAAGCGUGGGGAGCAAACAGGGAUUAGAUACC
rnacentral:rRNA from 1 species